UGGCGGCGUGCUUAACACAUGCAAGUCGAACGGAAAGGCCCUGCUUUUGUGGGGUGCUCGAGUGGCGAACGGGUGAGUAACACGUGAGUAACCUGCCCUUGACUUUGGGAUAACUUCAGGAAACUGGGGCUAAUACCGGAUAGGAGCUCCUGCUGCAUGGUGGGGGUUGGAAAGUUUCGGCGGUUGGGGAUGGACUCGCGGCUUAUCAGCUUGUUGGUGGGGUAGUGGCUUACCAAGGCUUUGACGGGUAGCCGGCCUGAGAGGGUGACCGGCCACAUUGGGACUGAGAUACGGCCCAGACUCCUACGGGAGGCAGCAGUGGGGAAUAUUGCACAAUGGGCGGAAGCCUGAUGCAGCAACGCCGCGUGCGGGAUGACGGCCUUCGGGUUGUAAACCGCUUUCGCCUGUGACGAAGCGUGAGUGACGGUAAUGGGUAAAGAAGCACCGGCUAACUACGUGCCAGCAGCCGCGGUGAUACGUAGGGUGCGAGCGUUGUCCGGAUUUAUUGGGCGUAAAGGGCUCGUAGGUGGUUGAUCGCGUCGGAAGUGUAAUCUUGGGGCUUAACCCUGAGCGUGCUUUCGAUACGGGUUGACUUGAGGAAGGUAGGGGAGAAUGGAAUUCCUGGUGGAGCGGUGGAAUGCGCAGAUAUCAGGAGGAACACCAGUGGCGAAGGCGGUUCUCUGGGCCUUUCCUGACGCUGAGGAGCGAAAGCGUGGGGAGCGAACAGGCUUAGAUACCCUGGUAGUCCACGCUGUAAACGGUGGGUACUAGGUGUGGGGUCCAUUCCACGGGUUCCGUGCCGUAGCUAACGCCUUAAGUACCCCGCCUGGGGAGUACGGCCGCAAGGCUAAAACUCAAAGGAAUUGACGGGGCCCCGCACAAGCGGCGGAGCAUGCGGAUUAAUUCGAUGCAACGCGUAGAACCUUACCUGGGUUUGACAUGGAUCGGGAGUGCUCAGAGAUGGGUGUGCCUCUUUUGGGGUCGGUUCACAGGUGGUGCAUGGCUGUCGUCAGCUCGUGUCGUGAGAUGUUGGGUUAAGUCCCGCAACGAGCGCAACCCUUGUUCACUGUUGCCAGCACGUUAUGGUGGGGACUCAGUGGAGACCGCCGGGGUCAACUCGGAGGAAGGUGGGGAUGACGUCAAGUCAUCAUGCCCCUUAUGUCCAGGGCUUCACGCAUGCUACAAUGGCUGGUACAGAGAGUGGCGAGCCUGUGAGGGUGAGCGAAUCUCGGAAAGCCGGUCUCAGUUCGGAUUGGGGUCUGCAACUCGACCUCAUGAAGUCGGAGUCGCUAGUAAUCGCAGAUCAGCAACGCUGCGGUGAAUACGUUCCCGGGGCUUGUACACACCGCCCGUCAAGUCAUGAAAGUUGGUAACACCCGAAGCCGGUGGCCUAACCGUUGUGGGGGAGCCGUCGAAGGUGGGACUGGUGAUUAGG
rnacentral:rRNA from 1 species